UGGCUGUCACAUGGAGGAUGGAGCAAGCUUGUUUCCUCCUGCUCUGGAAGGCUUACCUGGAGUUCUUCACCUCCAGCGAGAAUGUCAGAGCCCUCCAAACAGUGUUGAAGAACUACGGCCAGCGAG